CACCUUAUUUGAUUUUCUUCGGAACUGAAGAUUUGGUGAUUGAGUGGCGGACGGGUGAGUAACGCGUGGGUAACCUGCCCUGUACAGGGGGAUAACAGUCAGAAAUGACUGUUAAUACCGCAUAAGACCACAGCACCGCAUGGUGCAGGGGUAAAAACUCCGGUGGUACAGGAUGGACCCGCGUCUGAUUAGCUGGUUGGUGAGGUAACGGCUCACCAAGGCGACGAUCAGUAGCCGGCUUGAGAGAGUGAACGGCCACAUUGGGACUGAGACACGGCCCAAACUCCUACGGGAGGCAGCAGUGGGGAAUAUUGCACAAUGGGGGAAACCCUGAUGCAGCGACGCCGCGUGAGUGAAGAAGUAUCUCGGUAUGUAAAGCUCUAUCAGCAGGGAAGAAAAUGACGGUACCUGACUAAGAAGCCCCGGCUAACUACGUGCCAGCAGCCGCGGUAAUACGUAGGGGGCAAGCGUUAUCCGGAAUUACUGGGUGUAAAGGGUGCGUAGGUGGUAUGGCAAGUCAGAAGUGAAAACCCAGGGCUUAACUCUGGGACUGCUUUUGAAACUGUCAGACUGGAGUGCAGGAGAGGUAAGCGGAAUUCCUAGUGUAGCGGUGAAAUGCGUAGAUAUUAGGAGGAACAUCAGUGGCGAAGGCGGCUUACUGGACUGAAACUGACACUGAGGCACGAAAGCGUGGGGAGCAAACAGG
rnacentral:rRNA from 1 species